CUGGAGACAGGUGCUGCAUGGCUGUCGUCAGCUCGUGUCGUGAGAUGUUGGGUUAAGUCCCGCCAACGAGCGCAACCCUUGCCUUUAGUUGCCAGCAGUUCGGCUGGGCACUCUAAAGGGACUGCCGGUGUUAAACCGGAGGAAGGUGGGGAUGACGUCAAGUCCUCAUGGCCUUUAUGACCAGGGCUACACACGUACUACAAUGGCCGAUACAAAGGGCAGCGACACUGCGAGGUGAAGCCAAUCCCGUAAAAUCGGUCUCAGUCCGGAUUGGAGUCUGCAACUCGACUCCAUGAAGUUGGAAUCGCUAGUAAUCGUGGAUCAGCAUGCCACGGUGAAUACGUUCCCGGGCCUU
rnacentral:rRNA from 1 species